UACAGAGGUCUCAAGCGUUGUUCGGAUUCAUUGGGCGUAAAGGGUGUGUAGGUGGCGCCGUAAGUCGGGUGUGAAAUUUCGGAGCUUAACUCCGAAACUGCAUUCGAUACUGCGGUGCUUGAGGACCGGAGAGGAGACUGGAAUUUACGGUGUAGCGGUGAAAUGCGUAGAUAUCGUAAGGAAGACCAGUGGCGAAGGCGGGUCUCUGGACAGUUCCUGACGCUGAGGCACGAAGGCCAGGGGAGCAAACGGG
rnacentral:rRNA from 1 species